UCCUAGGUCACCAGAAAGCUGAGACACAGU
rnacentral:piRNA from 1 species